rnacentral:rRNA from 1 species
CCAUGUGGAGCGGUGGAAUGCGUAGAUAUAUGGAAGAACACCAGAGGCGAAGGCGAAAACUUAGGCUAUAACUGACGCUUAGGCUCGAAAGUGUGGGGAGCAAAUAGGAUUAGAUACCCUAGUAGUCCACACCGUAAACGAUGGUAAUUAAAUGUCGGCACGGUAAUGUGUCGGUAUUACAGCUAACGCAUUAAAUUACCCGCCUGGGUAGUACAUUCGCAAGAAUGAAACUCAAACGGAAUUGACGGGGACCCGCACAAGUGGUGGAGCAUGUUGUUUAAUUCGACAAUACACGUAGAACCUUACCUAGGUUUGACAUCUCUGGCAAAGCUAUAGAAAUAUAGUGGAGGUUAACCGGAUGACAGGUGGUGCAUGGUUGUCGUCAGCUCGUGUCGUGAGAUGUUGGGUUAAGUCCCGCAACGAGCGCAACCCUUAUUAUUAGUUACUUUAUCUAAUGAGACUGCCAGCGUAAGCUGGAGGAAGGUGGGGGUGACGUCAAAUCAUCAUGCCCCUUAUAUCUAGGGCUACAAACGUGCUACAAUGGCAAGUACAAACUGUUGCGAACCAGUAAUGGGGAGCUAAUCAUAAAAAGCUUGUCUCAGUUCGGACUGAGGGCUGCAAUUCGCCCUCAUGAAGUUGGAAUCACUAGUAAUCGCAAAUCAGACAUGUUGCGGUGAAUACGUUCCCGGGUCUUGUACACACCGCCCGUCAAACUAUGAGAGCUGGUAAUGCCUAAAACCGUUAAGAUAACCUUCGGGAGUCUUGCGUCUAGGGUAGGACUGGUGAUUGGAGUUAAGUCGUAACAAGGUAACC